GACUGGGAGACAGAGAUUUGAGAUUCUACAAGGGCCUACCAUCAGCUUUGUUGUGGGAUCAACCACUGUCCUCCUUCAGAAGACAAGAAUCAGGGAGAUCAGGGACCACACAUAUGCAAGCAGUGAGAUGUUGGCUUAGGGCAGGGAGGGAUCAGUCAUCUACUGGCUGGAACAAUUCUAGGCGGGAAUCUGCGUGGUCGAAUAAGCUGAAGAGCCCUGACUGCAGAAGAGCGCAUCUCGGAUUUUUGCAUUUCGUAGCGCGCGGGUUUAUUGCUGCGCGCGCCUUAGUUUUAGAGCCAAAUCCACCGGGCAGCCCCAGCCCGGUACUCACCGAAGCUGGUCCUGCGGCCAGGGAGGCCACCAGGGCGAGCUUGCAGACCGUGCAGGAUGCUGCUGUCGAAGGCUCCGGAGGUCCACGAAGGGGCUACGUCGGGACUCAUGUAUGCUGGCUGGAGUGCGCCGCGAGCGCGGGAGGCUGCGAGCCCGGCUCACACGAAGGCAGGUACGGCAGCAUGGAGGGCACGCGAGUGGGUGCCACGAACACCGGGGAGCCGGCUCCCGAAGAGUGCAGAAAGGCUCCGGAGUCGGCGUGAACUGUGGUGUGUCAGCACCUUGAGCCCACAUGCCAACUGGACUACCCUAGUGAGCAUCCUCUGUCCCCCACAGUUAUCAAGGAUCCCCUGUCUCCCCACAGUGAGAGACAGGUUUUGCCAGGUGGUCAGAGACUAGCCCAGGGAUGCAGAGAGGGCCACCUCAUCUGUGAAGGAGCCGAGGAAGCUAUAGUCUUCUGAUCGCCUCCCACUUUAUUCCCUGAGGAUUCCACACAGAGGGGCUCGGGCUCCCGACUGAAGUUGCACUGGGCCAAGACAGAACUUCUGCGUGCCUUAAGGAGGCUCCACGAUGUCUGUUGGGAGCCUCGUUGCUUUAUUCCAGGUCUGUGGAGGAGGACAGCCCACCAGCUCCUGUCCCUCAAGACCACAGUCCCCAGGGCCGGGAGCAGGGGUUUAUCGUGUUUUGGUUGUGUCUGCUUAGUGUACUGACUCCGGAAGUGUCAGAAGCCAUCAACCAACUCCUGUUGGUGGAGAUUUGGGAUGUGAACCCAAGGAAGUUAAAAGGUUUCCGAAGCGCCGAGUAGUCUAGAUAGAAGAAGGGUGAUUGAUUGGCUGAGGGACGGAUGCCUGCCUUUUAUUCUCAUUUUAACUGUGUGUGUGUGUGUAAGAGAGAGAGAGAGAGAGAGAGAGAGAGAGAGAGAGAGAGAGAGAGAGAGAGUGAAAAUGUGUGUGUGAGAGUAUGUGUGUGAGAGUGUGUGUGACUGAGAAUAUGUGUAUGUGUGUGUGAGUGUGUGUGUGUGUGUGACUGAGAAUAUGUUGUGAGAGUGUGUGUAUGAGAGAGAGUGUGUGAGAGACAGUGUGUGUCUGAGUGUGUAGGUAUGAGUACAUUAAAUGAAUAUGAGUGUGUGUGUUGAGAAUGUGUGUGUGUGUCUGCAGAUAUGCAUUCAUGUGAGUCUGGGCAUAUGUGUGUGUGGGCAUGUGAAUGUACGUGCACAAGUAGCACACAUAGGUGAGUGUGUAUGCUCGUGAGAGAACACAUGUGUGUGUGUACACAUAUGACUGGAUUAUAUAUAAAUAUAUACUAUAUGUAUAUGUGUAUAUAUGUAUAUACAUAUUAUUUCUUUUAAAAUAAACAGUGUGUGGAUGCCUUGG
ensembl:antisense Gata5os GATA binding protein 5, opposite strand